AAUCAACGCUGGCGGCGUGCCUCAGACAUGCAAGUCGAACGCGAAAGUUUCCUUCGGGAGAUGAGUAGAGUGGCGCACGGGUGAGUAACACGUAGGUAAUUUGCCUUUGGGUGGGGAAUACCAACCGGAAACGGUUGUUAAUACCGCAUAAUGCAGCGGCAUCAUAAGAUGACAGUUGUUAAAGCGGGGGAUUCGUAAGAACCUCGCGCCUAAAGAGGAGCCUGCGGCGGAUUAGGUAGGUGAGGUAAUGCUCACCAAGCCUGCGAUCCGUAACCGACCUGAGAGGGUGGUCGGUCACACUG
rnacentral:rRNA from 1 species